rnacentral:rRNA from 1 species
GCAUAUCAAUAAGCGGAGGAAAAGAAGCUAACAAGGAUUCCCCUAGUAACGGCGAGUGAAGCGGGAACAGCUCAAAUUUUAAAUCUGGCUGCUUCGCAGUCCGAGUUGUAAUUUGAAGGCGUCUGUCGCAUGUGAGACGAUGGCACAAGUCCUCUGGAACGUGGCAUCGUAGAGGGUGAGGAUCCCGUCUCUGGUCGUUGUCUUGCAGGCACACGGCAGGCGAUCCGAAGAGUCGAGUUGUUUGGGAUUGCAGCUCCAAAUGGGUGGUAAACUCCAUCUAAGGCUAAAUAUUGGCGAGAGACCGAUAGCGAACAAGUACCGUGAGGGAAAGAUGAAAAGAACUUUGAAAAGAGAGUAAAACAGUACGUGAAAUUGUUGAAAGGGAAACGCUUGAAGUCAGUCGUGCCGGCGGGGAUUCAGCGAACUUCGCGGAGUGAGCGUAUUUCCUCGCAUGGCAGGUCAGCGUCAGUUUUGCGCGUCGUGAAAGGGCUCGGGUAAGGUGACUCUCUUCGGGGAGUGUUAUAGGCCUGAGCAGAUGCGAUGCGCGGGACUGAGGAUUGCAGCGGACACCCUUCGGGGCGCGGCGACCGAUCCCUGCUCUGUCACCUUCGUCCGAUAGCGUGCUAACGGUCGGAGGAGCGGCGGUUGCACCGGGUUGGCAAGCCGGCGGCUUCGCUAAGGAUGCUGACGUAAUGGCUUUAAACGAC